rnacentral:lncRNA from 1 species
GUAGGAAAGGCAUAAUUUCCUGAGUCAGAAUUGGGCUCUUUGUGAUUUAAGUCAUUUAAAAGUUAUGUCAUGUUAUGAUUGCUUUCAUACUGCUCAAUGCGUUUAGAAAAUGUACUGCUAUAAAGUGGAAUGGAAUAUUCUAAUCCACUUGGUCUAACAAAUAUGUUCCCAAUUAUUUUGAUGAGGCUAGUAACACUGUCAAAAUAAUCUUUCCCUCGUUGGACCAUGCCAACGUCCAGGUGUUCUGAUGUUGUGGCAUUACUGCAGGGAGCCGUACAUCUGGGUCCCACCGCCGGAUGAUGUCAAGACUGCUGCUGACCCAAGGCCUGCCGCACAGAGAGUAGUUCCAAGAGGUCAGCUGUGCGUGUUUUUCCUUCCUGUGCCUCUGUGACAUCUUCCUGCCGGAGGGAGCCUCAGGGGAGCCAUUUGGGGAGGCCUGGGCCCAGAGCACGAGGGGCUGAGCACAGCAGAUUCUAAUUAGUCACUGACAGGGCAGGUGGGGGGAGGAGGAGAGGAGAUGGACUUGGACCCGGACCCCUGCCUGGACCGUUUACUGGCUAGAAAUGUACUUUCCAUGUACCCUGUCUAACACCAGGGAUCAUUCCUUAACCAUAGGAGGAUCUGCUGCACUCUGAUCCAUCUGCAAUCUCAUUCAAAGUGAUCCUAGAUAGGAGAAAGUGUGAGCACUGAGUUUGUGUGUCUAUGUGUCUAGUCUCUGCCUGCUGAAAUCAACACAUGGAACAGUCCUUGGAAAUGUCUCUCUUGAUAGCCUAAAGUUUAGAGCUCAACAGAUUCAAACAGGGCACGGAAUUAGGGUAGAAUAUCCAAAUACCACGUGAAGACUAUUCCUAUAUUUCAACAGCAUGGUCUCCUUCCACUUCUUUAUCCUCUUGCUCCACAAAGACCUCCAACCUCUCAACCUCCCUCUUCCUCCAUUGGGUUCACUGCAGUGAUUUAUACCUCUGACAUCCCAACAGCUGUGUCAGUGUCUCGGAGCAGAGUGCAGGCUACUAUUUGUUGUGACUAAUUGAUAGCAGACUUCAAAUAAAGCAACCGUGAGAUUUGCAAGAACACACCAGUCAAUGACACAAGAAACCCUGAUCCUUAGCCAAGGCUCUGCAGAAUUCACGAACAACUUCUUGGAAAACCUAUUGCAAACAAUGGAAUGAGAAUCACAAGAGAGAGAGAGAGUGUGUGAGAGAGAAAGAGUGAGGGAGAGAGAGAGAGAGAAAGAGAGAGUGAGAGAAAUAAUUUUUUGAUUGAGUGCCUGAUUUUUAAGCUCUCUUUAUACUUGCCGCUAACAUGCGUCCUUAAUCCUGAUCUUGUCCUGAUCUUGUCUGUUUACACUUAAAAGAUCU